rnacentral:rRNA from 1 species
AUUGAACGCUGGCGGCAUGCCUUACACAUGCAAGUCGAACGGUAGCGGGCCUUCGGGUGCCGACGAGUGGCGAACGGGUGAGUAAUGUAUCGGAACGUACCUUUCAGUGGGGGAUAACGUAGCGAAAGUUACGCUAAUACCGCAUAUUCUGUGAGCAGGAAAGCAGGGGAUCGCAAGACCUUGCGCUGAUUGAGGGGCCGAUAUCAGAUUAGCUAGUUGGUGAGGUAAAGGCUCACCAAGGCGUCGAUCUGUAGCGGGUACGAGAGGGUGACCCGACACGCUGGAAAUGAGACACGGUCCAGACUCCUACGGGAGGCAGCAGUGGGGAAUUUUGGACACUGGGGCCAACCCUGACCCAGCCAGGCCGCGUGAGUGAAGAAGGCCUUCGGGUUGUAAAGCUCUUUCGGCCGGGAAGAAAGCGUAUCAGCUAAUACCUGGUGCGGAUGACGGUACCGGCAUAAGAAGCACCGGCUAACUACGUGCCAGCAGCCGCCGUAAAAC